CAGAAUUUCUUCCUAACAUCCAAUCUAAAUCUCCCCCUUUUACUCCAAAACCAUUCCCCCUUGCCGUAUCACUAAAUGCCUGUGUAAUAUUUGGGAGCCAGGGUGGUCUCAGGUGCUCUGUGUCACUCAGCACCUCCCUGGGUGCUCACAGCUCCGCCAGCAGUGGGGACAUCCAAGGGAGCUGAGCACCAGCCGGGAGCCAGCACAGCCACGAGCUGUGGGUGAGCUCAUGCGAGGCAGAGGGGAAGGUGAGGUGCUGGAACAUCGCUCCCACAUCCCUCCUGUCCGUCUGACUCACCCCGCUGUGCAAGGGCUCCCUUCCCUGACAACAGCCAGGGAAUGGGUUGAGGAGCAAGGGAAGGAGGGAAGGGUGGGUUGAAUCUCUCACUUUUGGUAUUUAGGACACUUGAUCCACACAGGACAGCUGCUCUGGCACUGGGGAGCGAGGAGACAAGUGAGCUGGACACUCCAGCGGCUCCUCUCUCUGAUAAUAUCUGCCGUGGAGCCAAGGCCUUCACUGAGGGAUGAGUCACUUGAGGUUUCCUCCCCGGGAAUUUGAGUUAAAAGUGAUUCAAGAAAUUUCCACUGUGCUAAGAAUUAGAAACAUCUGCUGGAGUUGUAGGCAGCUGCAGUGCCAAGUUUAGUAACAGCACUCGCAGCUGAUGAGCGCAGCAGUGCCUGAGCAGGUGCCCGGCACGGAGCCCUGCCCCUCAGGGAGCAUCCCAGGCACCCUGGGCACCCCAAGAUGUCCAUCCCACACUGCCUGGCAGAGCACUCCCGGGAUCCCAGGCACCCAGAGGUGUCCAUCCCACACUGCCUGGUCCAGAUGUAGCCACUGCCUCACGGGACUGGUAGGAACCUCAUCCAAGAAAUGCCAGGAUUCACGGGGAGAAAUAAGAAGGGUGUAAAGAGGAAGAAGUGGUGCAGGGUGAGCCUGGUGCAAGGAGGAAGCUCUGCUGCAGAGUCCCCUUCUGCUGACACUCCUCAGGCAGGAUAAAAGAGCUCCAAAGGAAGAAUCAGCAAAUAUUCAAGGCCCUAUGAAGCCAAGGGACCAGGAACUGAACCAAUUCAUCUGUCUCCAGCCUUAAAGCUUUGCCUACACCUUUAAACAGCACAGCUGGGCUGCUGCCAAGGGCACUCAAACCUCCCUUCCUACCAACAACCAUGUUCCUAAACCUCUUAAAACCCCACAUUUAGAAAAUAUGUUAUAAUUUACUGCAUAAUUAAGGAGCUUGUUUUGAAUCAAGAAACAUUCCCAGGUCUGGAACUCUUCCAUUAAUCCAUGACUAUUAUUUUAAUAAAUAAAAGAUAGAGAAGGGAGGGAAAAAAGCCUUUUCUCCCCUGAAAAUUCAUUGCUUGAA